GACAGAGGGUGCAAACGUUGUUCGGAAUUACUGGGCGUAAAGCGUGUGUAGGCGGCCAUGUAAGUCGGAUGUGAAAGCCCCGGGCUUAACCCGGGAAGUGCAUUCGAUACUGCGUGGCUUGAGUAUCGGAGAGGUUGGUGGAAUUCUCGGUGUAGAGGUGAAAUUCGUAGAUAUCGAGAGGAACACCGGUGGCGAAGGCGGCCAACUGGACGAAUACUGACGCUGAGACGCGAAAGCGUGGGGAGCGAACAGG
rnacentral:rRNA from 1 species